rnacentral:rRNA from 1 species
AACGAACGCUGGCGGCAUGCCUGACACAUGCAAGUCGAACGAAGCCUUCGGGCUUAGUGGCGCACGGGUGCGUAACGCGUGGGAAUCUGCCCUUGGGUUCGGAAUAACAGUUAGAAAUGACUGCUAAUACCGAAUGAUGUCUUCGGACCAAAGAUUUAUCGCCCAAGGAUGAGCCCGCGUCGGAUUAGCUGGUUGGUGAGGUAAAGGCUCACCAAGGCGACGAUCCGUAGCUGGUCUGAGAGGAUGAUCAGCCACACUGGGACUGAGACACGGCCCAGACUCCUACGGGAGGCAGCAGUGGGGAAUAUUGGACAAUGGGCGAAAGCCUGAUCCAGCAAUGCCGCGUGAGUGAUGAAGGCCUUAGGGUUGUAAAGCUCUUUUACCCGGGAUGAUAAUGACAGUACCGGGAGAAUAAGCUCCGGCUAACUCCGUGCCAGCAGCCGCGGUAA